GCCGCUGCUGCUGCGGGAUGCACCGUCGAGAGGUCGUGGCUGCUCGGAUUGGAAGCGACGAACCCUUCAGGCUUUCGUCUUCGUCGCCAUUUUGUCUCCACUAUGCUUGGCACCCGGUGCGGAUGCUUUGUUCCUGAAGAAGAAGCUCAAGCUUUUGAAGGCCAGCAAAGGCAAGUUUGGUCUUAGGCCCCAGCCCCAGCCGCAGCACGCGGUCGGCGCAGCGUGGUUGCCGCCGCCUCAGUGGGUGCCGCCCCCUCACCCGGUGCAGCUGAGCGGACCUCCGGUUGCCCACUGGAGCUACCCUGGCGACUACUCUGGGUGGGUGCCCCCGCCAGCGCCACAACCAGUGCCGGCGCACGGCUGGGUUGCCGCACCACCAGCUGUGCACGCUGCCCAUCCACCAC
rnacentral:lncRNA from 1 species